CCCGAGCCCACUACGACGGCCGAGGCCCAGCCCAGCCCAGCCCAGAGCACCUACCAAGACCGACCGGUUUUCCCCUUCCCUGCUCCUCCAUUCCAACCCUUCUCCUCCUGCCCUGCCCUGCCCUGCCGCCGUCGUCGUCGCCGUCAGCCGUCGCCGCCGCAUCUCCCCCAGCCGCAGCCCUCACGCUCCGAUUCGUCCGUCCGACGGUCAGCAGCAGCACAACCGUAGUCGUCGUCGAUGGCAGGGUUCGGCAGCCUGGCGCCCAAGACGAAGAACGUGGUGGUGGCGGGCGGGCUGACGGGGUUCGUCUUCGGGGUGUACUACUACACCAUGUGGGCGGUGGGCAGCACCGACGAGCUGCAGGUCACCAUCGACAAGUUUGAGGACCUGAAGAAGAAGGAGGAGGCCGCCUCCGCAAGCUCCUCCACCCCAGGAUCAUCAUAAACAAGCACGCCCUUAACUUUGAAACUAGCUACUGCCUGCCUCUCCCAGGACCAUGGGUUCGGUUUGUAUUUGAUAAUAAUGGGUGCUGUUAGUUAGAUGGAGCAUUUUCAUUCAUGGCAUGGAUGGAGCUUGGAGUUGAUGAUGCUUUUUGUUUGUGUGAAUCGUAGCUGCGGUGUCUGGAAAUUAUGAUAUGAUAUUGCCUCCGCUUCAAAAUAUAAGGCGUAUUGUUUUUGCCCCUCA